CAGUCGCCGCGGUAACACGUAGGGUGCGAGCGUUAAUCGGAAUUACUGGGCGUAAAGCGUGCGCAGGCGGUGAUGUAAGACAGUUGUGAAAUCCCCGGGCUCAACCUGGGAACUGCAUCUGUGACUGCAUCGCUGGAGUGCGGCAGAGGGGGAUGGAAUUCCGCGUGUAGCAGUGAAAUGCGUAGAUAUGCGGAGGAACACCGAUGGCGAAGGCAAUCCCCUGGGCCUGCACUGACGCUCAUGCACGAAAGCGUGGGGAGCAAACAGGAUUAGAUACCCGAGUAGUCCCUGUCUCUUAUAA
rnacentral:rRNA from 1 species